ACCGGCAGCUCAAGUGGUGGCCAUUUUUAUUGUGCCUAAAUCUUUCUUAUCCUGUUUGAUAAGUCUCUGGUGAAAUCCCGCAGCUUAACUGUGGGACUUGCUGGAGAUACUAUUAGACUUGAGGUCGGGAGAGGUUAGGGGUACUCCCAGGGUAGGGGUGAAAUCCUAUAAUCCUGGGAGGACCACCUGUGGCGAAGGCGCCUAACUGGUGUGUAAAUGAUGGUUUUUUUGGUGUGGCUUUUUUGUUUUGAG
rnacentral:rRNA from 1 species